ACCCUCUAGAUUCCUUGUCGCUCAGAGCUAAAAAUUGGCCUGAGAUGGAGAAAAUAGGAGGAAAAGUAAAACUGAAAUGCACUUGGAGUCUGUAAUGAGUUACAAGUUCAUUUCAAACAUAG
rnacentral:snoRNA from 1 species